CGGGGCCCGACGACGCUGGGCUGCAGGAAAGUUGAGGGUUUUGGGGCAUCGACGAGUCCACACGAGUUGUAUACGCACGCACAGGUGUGGUACGUUGGGGCUCAUGUUGGUCCUGGUACGUAUGCGGUCGCUACCCCUCCCCUCAAACAAGCAAACAAACCAACACAAGCAACAGACAAAUAAGCAAAGAAACGAGGCUGGAGAGAUAUGGAUUGGGGUGAACGGACGGCGUCUGUCAUAUGCU